AUUCCCUACGGGAGGCAGCAGUGGGGAAUAUUGCGCAAUGGGCGAAAGCCUGACGCAGCGACGCCGCGUGAGGGAUGAAGGUCUUCGGAUCGUAAACCUCUGUCAGCAGGGAAGAGCGGUCACUGUGCUAAUCAGCAGUGAAUUGACGGUACCUGCAAAGGAAGCACCGGCUAACUCCGUGCCAGCAGCCGCGGUAAUACGGAGGGUGCGAGCGUUAAUCGGAAUUACUGGGCGUAAAGCGCUCGUAGGCGGUAUGUCAAGUCAAGGGGGAAAUCCCCGCGCUCAACCGGGUAACUGCCUUUGAA
rnacentral:rRNA from 1 species